GAAAACACCAGCACAAGCCAUGAAUAGAUUGCGAUAUUUUACUAUGCUUGAAAAUUAAACACAACUCACGUGUAAAAUUCUGUAUAACAGUUAUGCUAAGGAGGACUUCAUAUGAUUUUAUAGCCAUCUAAUUGGCUUUCAUACGUCUGGAUUGGAUUAACUGCCACUGUACUUUUCAGCGGUAACAAUAACUUUUGAGCAUAAUAUAUUAUCUCUCUGUAGAUAGUUUAUUUGAUUAUUCACAUGCAUUAUGAAUCACUCUUGUGAUGGUACCUUGGGCCCUUGGUCAUGGCCGUGAAAUUGACUAUGACGGGGAUGAUUAUAUUGUGCCUGUGAGGUUGGCUCUCCUAUGAAACCAGGCCCAAACUAUGUUGAACCUAACUUUCCUUUCCGGAGUGAUUCAUGUACUGUGUGAAUCUUGGAUGCGACUAAUAAAUAAGUUUUUUCUGACCAUUGGUGAACCCUUCGGAAGGAGAACCAAUUUGGCUCUGAUUACUUUGAAUCAAAUCCAGCCUUCAUUCAGUUUAUAUACCUAGAGCGUCGGUGCUAGAU